rnacentral:lncRNA from 12 species
CAUUGCACGCGGAAACCUGCCAGGACUGGAGGGCUGGCAGAGAUGGCCAGCCGGGGGCGGGGGGAGGGGUGUGGAGGGUGAGCAGUGAUUGCUGACUGGUGGCCAGCUGCGGAGCUCCGAGGGGCCAGUGUGGACAAGUGUGCAUGGCUGAGGCUGCAGCAAACCCAUGGCUGUGAGCAUCUGAGGCCUGAGGCCUGAGAACCUCCCAAGAAGAUGAGGCUGGUGACCCAAAUAGACCAGGCUGGGGAAGCAGCCAGCGGUGGCUGACACACACUGUCUGUCACCUUCUACUUGGUGGCCAUGUUCUAUCUCCAGCUCCUCCUGCCAUUUAUGACUUUCUCAGUGGAUGUCAUACAAGGGAUACUGAGCAACAUAAUGUGCAACACAGAAACGAUCUCGACCUGAGAGGUUCCUGCUCCCCACCCCAGGACCUGGGACAUUCCCUCCUUGGGGAUGCUGCUGUGUGGCUCACCUAGAAUGCCCCCCAUGGGACUGAUCGGGCUGAUCGCCAGAGCAGAGAGGACGGAAGAGCCUGUUUCCUUGUGGGACCGCACCAGCCGAGCUCCUGCAUAGAUGCUGCUCUCCACGGAACUUCUGCUUACUGUUUGCACUGUGCGGGGCGGGUUCCCAGCCGACAGCUCCCUGGAGCCAACUCUGGGUUUCUGCUGAUAAGACCAGCUCAUUAAUUUUACCUGGGACACCAGCAGGUGGGUUUUUG